CACAUUCCAGAUGAUAUACAUUGGGAAGACAUCUGGCAGGUGGUCUCCAUCCUCCUGGUUCCCUGUAGGCAUCUGGAUGAAGGCAGGGGAGGAACAUUCAUCAGGACACAGACUAAGAUUGGAAAUUCAUUGAGAAGAGCAAAUUUUUUGACUUUAGACCUGUGGCAGGACAUCUCCCCUGGAAUGUCCAAGCAAACUAUGCCACGGCCUGGUGGGGUAAGGAAUAGGGAUGCAACACUGCAAAGAAGGGUCCAACAAGAUAGAAGGUCGGGGUACAAUGGCCACUUUAAAGGGAGGACUGGGACUUAUCUAGGGUUUGGCUGAGGGAAGUUUGGUAACCGGGGCAGAGCAUGAGAUGGACAGCUCAGGGUAUAACAGGAUAGGAGAACAAAGGGAAAGGAGGGAGGAACUUGGGAGGAGCUGGGAGUCAAGGACCAAUGGGAGCUCACUCCGCACUGCGGCACUUCUCAGCCAGUCAGUGUGGGAUGAGCGGGAAAGCAGGGGAGAGCAAGGGAGUAAACAACUUUUGGGCGGGAAAAACUGUGGGCAAGCCCAGGCAAGUUCUGGGUAAUACAUUUCAAGGGAACUAAUACAGAGAUAUAUGGGGAAAUACAUUAAAUGGGGUUCAGAACGGGGAUAUAAACGUGGAAGUCCAUAGGCUGUCAUCUCUUCAAGCACCAUACAGGUCCCUCCAUGCCUGGAAGCGUUGCCAUUCCGAUUCUUGUUCCUCCACAGCAAAUAAUGCCCUAUUUGCAAAUGUAUCAGUGCUGGGCUAAGAGGGGGUCCUGCUGGAAACCAGUCUGGGUUCAACCCUGAAUUAACAUCCUGAUGGUGAGGCAACCCCUGGAGUCCAAGGACUGUCAGUCCAUCACUUUAUUCUAUAAAGUUCCAGUCCCCUUUCACAGGGGCAGGUUCUUCCAACAUAACCCUUCUUGGGGUGUAUGAGUGGAGAUUCCCCCCUUGGCUGAGGGCCUCCCCAAGGUCAUUCCUUGAGGGUGAGAGCAGAGAUCUCCCCACGAGCGUUGGUCUGAGUGAGUCACAUCCAUCUCUAAUUAGUAACUAUUGCUUUUUUGCCAGCUUUAGUAUAAUUGCUUCAACAAUUGCUUUAGUGUAGUGCACUGUCCUAUCUUAUAGUAUACUACUCGUAGUUUUAGUAUUUGUAUUGUGUAGUAAAUAAUUCUGAUUAAAAUCUUUUGUCUGAUCAUCUGUGAUAAUGAAUAGUUCAUUUUAUAUCAAUAUAUCUGAUUUGCCAUCAUUAAAACCUGCAGGACAAAA